rnacentral:rRNA from 1 species
UACUCCUACGGGAGGCAGCAGUGAGGAAUAUUGGACAAUGGAGGCAACUCUGAUCCAGCCAUGCCGCGUGCAGGAAGACUGCCCUAUGGGUUGUAAACUGCUUUUAUAGAGGAAGAAACCUCCCUUCGUGAAGGGAAUUGACGGUACUCUACGAAUAAGGAUCGGCUAACUCCGUGCCAGCAGCCGCGGUAAUACGGAGGAUCCAAGCGUUAUCCGGAAUCAUUGGGUUUAAAGGGUCCGUAGGCGGACUAAUAAGUCAGUGGUGAAAGUCUGCAGCUCAACUGUAGAAUUGCCAUUGAUACUGUUAGUCUUGAGUCAUUAUGAAGUGGUUAGAAUGAGUGGUGUAGCGGUGAAAUGCAUAGAUAUCACUCAGAAUACCGAUUGCGAAGGCAGAUCACUAAUAAUGUACUGACGCUGAUGGACGAAAGCGUAGGUAGCGAACAGGAUUAGAUACCCUGGUAGUUACGCCGUAAACGAUGGUUACUAGCUGUUGGUCGAUUGAGACUGAGGGCUAAGCGAAAGUAUAAGUAAC